ensembl:lncRNA
CUUGAAGGCAGUGGACCAGAGCAGAGCUGCUGGGAUGCACACGUGGCUUCUUGCAUCUCUGCUGUAGGGUGGCUAUCUUCAGCAGAAGGGUGGAACAGCCAGAUGAGGAUGAUAAGAAACCCACAGAAGCAAGAUCUGUCAGAUUCUAUUAUUCACUUUCUGUGAUUUAUGGCACCAGGGAGAGCUGGAUUUUGUGUCCUGAGGUGCCACUAGAAGGGUCUUCAGGAGUUUAUGAAACCUCCAGCACGCCUGACUUUGAGGUGCUUUUCUGCUGGAUGUGCUCUACCUCACUGCUUUGCCAUGAAACACUAGGGAUUUGGGGGCUGUCUCUGGGCAGCUUCCAAGGCUUUAGAGUCCCUGUGUUUUACAGGCACCCCAUGAAGCUUGUGUGGUGCCCCAGUUUUGAUGGAGAAAUAUGACCCUCACGCACUGCCUGCAGCUCAGGACAGGAUGGCCAUGUAGUCCCCCUGAACUCACCAGUACCCAAUGCGUGAAGAGUGCUGCUCCCUGCCCAGUGGAUGUGCCUUGAAGAGGGACCUUUUAUGCACACUUUUGCUAAUCUGAAUCAAGCAAGACAAGGUGGCAGAAAAAACAAAAAUGAUGUUUCCUACAGUUACUCUGGUCUGAGCUCUGUGUAGGAAGGGAUUUGGCCUGACAAGAGUCAAGCACUCAGAGAAAAUGUUAUUGAAGCAUUUCAAACUGAAGAUCUGUUGCUUUUGCUAUUCCACUUUGCAACACAGUAUCUGGGCUAACAUGAACUGUAAAAGUGCUGUAAAAUGAGGAAGGUAAUGACUAAAUCUGGGGAAAGAAAUGACUUUCCUGGGUUUCUAAAAGAGACAAGAUGAGCACAUGAGAUAGAUCUGAAAAGCGUGAUUUGGUGCUCUUCCUGAUAGUGCUCCCACUCUUGUGAAAAGGUGACCUCACUGGGGCCCAAUCCUGCUCCUUCUUGCAGCACUGGUGGUCUUGCUCCUGAUUCUCAUGUUGAGCCCUCAGUAGAGCAUGCACAGAUGAGCAGGCAAGGCUUGCAGAGCACAGCAUUCUUUAAUUCUGCUAUUGAGUGAUCCUCGUUACUUUACUAGCAAGUUGUGUAAUUCUUCCUAAUUCUUUCUAAUGGGCUUCCUUUUUCAUCUGACCAGUGCUGGAGAAGAUGAUAUAUCCGGAGGAGAAACAAGGAAGCUGGAGAAAUAAGUCUGACAUAAGGACAGCUGCUUAAAGUCUAUGUUAAAUCAAAGCUCCUUCGUGAUGCAUUUCUGCACAAAGAUCUUAACAGCAGUUGGAUGUGAUUUAGUUUGAGUUUGGAGCUGUAGGUCAAUUCAUUGUGACUUGUCCACAAUGUGGCAAUUGAGGAACUCCUGUAAGACUGUCCAUGGGUUUCUGUUGAGUGGAUUGGUUGCAACAAGUAGAGUGGCACAAUGUCAGAGGGAAACAUGAACACAGGAACUAUUUCUCUACUGGAAACCCCUAUCUGGUAGACUGAUAAAGUCUAAUUCAACUAAUUUUUCCUAAGUUGGGCAAGGAUUAGCUAUUGAACAAGAGGAACCAAGUGGGAAUGACUAACAUGUCAAAGUGUGCAGAAGUGAGAUCAUUUUCCCCGUGAGGAUAUCUUUUUUUGUGUGAUUCCUCAUCAGAAAACUAGAAGUAAAAGCAUUUUUUUCUGAACAAACCAAGAAGUAAACUGUGAUGACAUUUCCUCAUUUUCAGUUUCCUCAAAGAAACUCAUAGUCUGAUUAUUCACUCAGAGACAUAGUCAUGGAUUUCUUUGCAUUCUAGGAAGAAAAGAAAAAUUGAUAAAUAAAUAAGUAGAGUUUAUACACAUAUUUUAAUAUUCAUUCACAAACACACACAUAUUUGUUGACUGACACCAGUUGUACCUUCACCUUCAUUUGGAACACUUCUGCUUUAGCGAGGGAGCUAAUCACAGCAAUAACUACCUCUUGUAAAUCUAAGGUGGGGUAGCCCUCCAUGUUUUCAAUAGCCUAGGAUUAAAAAAAAAAUUAAAAAAACCCCACAUAUAUUUUGUAGAAGGGUAUGUUGUUUGGAAGUGAUUUCAACUUUAUAGAGGAAAUAAGCUCUAAUUUCAGAAUUUGCCCAGAUGAUCUUUGUUAGAAGAUACGAAGACUAUGCUUCCAAUCAUUCUCCUUCUGUAGAAUGCUCGAUCUCUGUUUCAUUUGCUUUUACCUCUUAUUUAAUCCAAAGGGAAAAAAAAAAAGUAUUCUGUCAGUAUGUAUAGUAAUGUCAGUUCCUCUUUCUAAGACGGCAAUGACUAUUUUCUUCUGUAGCUGGGAAGAGUUAUUUGCUCCACUCCUGAAAGUCCAGGAGGGAGAGAACCGGCAUUUUUCAUAUUCAUCAGGCUCUGGCAAGCUUCUGCUUUCCCUGUGCUUUUUGUCACCUGCAUUUAUUUUAUCUAAGUCUAGGUAAACAAACAAACAAACAAAAAAAAAAAACUUCCUUCAGGAGAAUUGGGAUAAGAAGCCAGAUAUUCAGGUUUUUCCUAUGUGUGCUAUGUAUCUAUAAAGUCUGUUUGAUUUGGGAGUACGUCUGUUGGUCUUCCAAAGGUCAGUUAUAUUUCUCCUUUGUAAUGCAGUGAAUAAUUCUGAGUUUGUUAUGAGCAAAGCAUCCAGUCAAGGCAAAUCCCUGACAUUAGACACAUCUCUCAGCAUUCGAAAUGUCCUGCAGUGAAACCUCAUGUAUAAUGUCGAAUGUGUUGCUGCUACCAAAUUCCAGAAGAUUCGACAACAAAUUUUUUUGUCUUUUCAAUGUGAAAAAGAUAUGGAAUCUUUUUUUACUGAUUUU